rnacentral:rRNA from 1 species
AUAAGUAGUGGCAGGUUAAGGUAGAGAAUACCGGAGCCAUAGUGAAAGCGAGCCUGAAUAGGGCGUUUGUCACUGGUUAUAGACCCGAACCCGGAUGAUCUAACCAUGGCCAGGUUGAAGCUUAGGUAAUACUAAGUGGAGGACCGAACCGACUGAUGUUGAAAAAUCAGCGGAUGAGUUGUGGUUAGGGGUGAAAUGCCAAUCGAAUUCGGAGCUAGCUGGUUCUCCCCGAAAUGCGUUUAGGCGCAGCGAUGAAUGUUAUAGCUUAGGGGUAAAGCACUGUUACGUAUGCGGGCUGGUAAUUCGGUACCAAAUC